rnacentral:rRNA from 1 species
GACAGCAGCAGCCGCGGGAAUACAGAGGGUGCGAGCGUUAAUCGGAUUUACUGGGCGUAAAGCGUGCGUAGGCGGCUUUUUAAGUCGGAUGUGAAAUCCCUGAGCUUAACUUAGGAAUUGCAUUCGAUACUGGGAAGCUAGAGUAUGGGAGAGGAUGGUAGAAUUCCAGGUGUAGCGGUGAAAUGCGUAGAGAUCUGGAGGAAUACCGAUGGCGAAGGCAGCCAUCUGGCCUAAUACUGACGCUGAGGUACGAAAGCAUGGGGAGCAAACAGGAUUAGAUACCCGCGUAGUCCCUGUCUCUUAUAC